GAUCAUGGCUCAGGACGAACGCUGGCGGCGCGCCUAACACAUGCAAGUCGAACGAGCGAGAGAGAGCUUGCUUUCUCGAGCGAGUGGCGAACGGGUGAGUAACGCGUGAGGAACCUGCCUCAAAGGAGGGGGACAACAGUUGGAAACGACUGCUAAUACCGCAUAAGCCCACGGCUCGGCAUCGAGCAGAGGGAAAAGGAGUGAUCCGCUUUGAGAUGGCCUCGCGUCCGAUUAG
rnacentral:rRNA from 1 species